GAUGAACGCUGGCGGCGUGCCUAAUACAUGCAAGUCGAACGAAACUUCUUUAUCACCGAGUGCUUGCACUCACCGAUAAAGAGUUGAGUGGCGAACGGGUGAGUAACACGUGGGCAACCUGCCCAAAAGAGGGGGAUAACACUUGGAAACAGGUGCUAAUACCGCAUAACCAUAGUUACCGCAUGGUAACUAUGUAAAAGGUGGCUAUACUACCGCUUUUGGAUGGGCCCGCGGCGCAUUAGCUAGUUGGUAGGGUAAAGGCUUACCAGGGCAAUGAUGCGUAGCCGAAUUGAGAGGUUGAUCGGCCACAUUGGGACUGAGACACGGCCCAAACUCCUAAGGGAGGCAGCAGUAGGGAAUCUUCCACAAUGGGCGAAAGCCUGAUGGAGCAACGCCGCGUGGGUGAAGAAGGUCUUCGGAUCGUAAAACCCUGUUGUUAGAGAAGAAAGUGAGUGAGAGUAACUGUUCACGUUUCGACGGUAUCUAACCGGAAAGCCACGGCUAACUACGUG
rnacentral:rRNA from 1 species